UGAUCUUAGAUAAUUCCUCGAUCUCCCAGA
rnacentral:sRNA from 1 species